rnacentral:lncRNA from 1 species
AGAGAAUCCACCCUUAUGUUAUGCCCCAGUUUCAAUUGGACUCUCUCUCACUCUAAGAGAAGUAUUCUUCAAUAAUAAUGAUCAACUAAAGAAAUAAACCCUACAAUGUUCUAUUUAUACUACAUUACAAUAAUAGACAAAAUGACAAAAGGGCCCUUUAGUGACUAGUCUUCAAAAAUACUCAAAAGUGUCAUGAUCAUGAUCAUACUUGUAUCA